AUUGAACGCUGGCGGCAGGCCUAACACAUGCAAGUCGAACGAGUUGAGGGCGGGUGAGUAAUGUCUGAGAAACUGCGUGAUGGAGGGGGAUAAAUAGUGGAAACGGUAGAUAAUACCGCAAAACAUGAUAUGUGCCGAGAUGGGUUUAGCUAGGUGGUGGGGUAACGUCUUACCAAGGCGACGAUCCCUAUCUGGUCUGAGUGGCUGACCAGCCACACUGGCACUUAGACAGGGUCCAGACUCCUACGGGAGGCAGAAGUGGGGAAUAUUGCACAAUGGGCGCAAGCCUGAUGCAGCCAUGCCGCGGGUAUGAAGAAGGCCUUCGGGUUGUAAAGUACUUUCAGCGGGGAGGCGUUACCCGCAGAAGAAGCACCGGCGAACUCCGUGCCAGCAGCCGCGGUAAUAC
rnacentral:rRNA from 1 species